UUGACCUCGAAUCAGGUAGGACU
rnacentral:rRNA from 6 species